CUCGGAUUCGUCCCACACCGAUGAAAUUACCGCCCAUGUGCAACCCUAGCCCUCAUUCUCUCCCCUUCUAUUCCCCGAUCCCCUUCUCCCAGCGAGCGUGAGACUGUAUGGCGGCGAUGACAGAGAUGGCGGUUCGGUGAGGUGUAGCACGCGUGUGACGAUGAGCGCCGAGUAGAGUGGCACAUCUGUGCUAGCUGGAGGGUGCGCCCGUGGGCAGUGCCAAACCAUGGCGUGGCGUCUGCGGUCCAGCGAGGUGGACGCGCAAGCGGCGCCGAGCGUCACGUGGCCCGGACCUUGUCGGCGGGGGAGCGAAGGCCAAAGGCGGCGCCAAGCUGAUGCUUCCCAUCCCGGUUAGUCGGCGACGGUGGGGGAUCUCCAAGGUUGCGUGCGCACAGCAACCGCGAGGAGGAGAAGGCAAGGGCACACCGAGGAGACGCAUGGGCAAGCCCGUAUGGCGCCGACGGCGGCGAUACCGCUUCUCGACGAGACCAACACCGCAGUGAGGUUUCCCGGUAGAAUUAGGGCUCCAAGUCCGGAAUAAGGUUGGUCUGCAUCGGCACGAUCAACAGCCCACAAAGAGGUGUGUCGAUUCCUAAGGCACAACACAACAACGCCUUGUACGGUUUUAGUCUGGUCGUCAAUGUUUUCUCUCCCAGAUCGUGGUUAUCUCAACUCACCGAAAGGUCGGGCCAAUCAGAGCUUUGAGCGUGUCAAGUCGAACUCAGAGUUUAUCAAGUGGUAUCAGAGCAGGAAUUCUAUUCACACCCUCCCCCCCGGAUGUCUUUGAUCCUACACUAUCCUAGUCCUUUUUUGAUUGGGUGGUAUAUUUAUGGCACUGAUUAUAAGCCAUGGAAGAAGAAAAAUAAUUUAUGGGCAAAAGUUUUAUAUCCA